rnacentral:rRNA from 1 species
UACGUAGGGUGCGAGCGUUAAUCGGAAUUACUGGGCGUAAAGCGUGCGCAGGCGGUUUUGUAAGCCAGAUGUGAAAUCCCCGGGCUUAACCUGGGAAUGGCAUUUGGGACUGCAAGGCUCGAGUGCGGCAGAGGAGACUGGAAUUCCUGGUGUAGCAGUGAAAUGCGUAGAUAUCAGGAGGAACACCGAUGGCGAAGGCAGCUCGCUGGGACGGUACUGACGCU